UCCCUGGUAGUCUAGCUGUUAAGGAUCCAGCAUUCUCAAUGCUGUGUCCUGUGGCUUGGGUUCAAUCCCUGGCCUGGGGA
rnacentral:tRNA from 1 species